UGGGGUAUACUUGGGCCCAAGCUCGAGCUUGCAAAUAAACCCUCGUGCGUUUGCAUCGGUAUCGGCUCUUUGGUGGUCUCUCGGAUUUGAAAUUGGGGGCGUUACACCUCUCAACCUAAAUGCAGGCUAUAACAUCAGUUACACAGCUGGGGGAACGAACCACUGUUGUUGGAACCUAGGCAGAGCUGCCUAUAUCAUCCAGCAAAACAAACAAACAAACAAAAAACCCUGGAAACCAAAAGCACCAAGAGCCUUGGAGGAGCAAAGGGGGAAGAGAACUGUGAAAGCCGGUCUCCUCACUCCACCACAGGCUUCAGAAGACUCCAUCAGAUGGUGUAGAUUAAAGAAAAGUUGGGGCACCUAGGUGGCUCA